rnacentral:rRNA from 1 species
CCUACGGGUGGCUGCAGUGAGGAAUAUUGGUCAAUGGGAGAGAUCCUGAACCAGCCAAGCCGCGUGAGGGAAGACGGCCCUAUGGGUUGUAAACCUCUUUUGUCGGAGAACAAAACCCGGGACGUGUCCAGGACGGCGUGUAUCCGAAGAAAAAGCAUCGGCCAACUCCGUGCAAGCAGCCGCGGUAAUACGGAGGAAGCGAGCGUUAUCCGGUUUUAUUGGGUUUAAAGGGUGCGUAGGCGGUCCGGUAAGUCAGCGUGAAAGUUGCGGGGCUCAACCCCGUCGAGCCGUUGAAACUGGCAGACUUGAGUUGGCGAGAGGUACGCGGAAUUCGCGGUGUAGCGGUGAAAUGCAUAGAUAUCGCGCAGAACUCCGAUUGCGAAGGCAGCGUACCGGCGCCAGACUGACGCUGAGGCACGAAAGCGUGGGGAUCGAACAGGAUUAGAUACCCCAGUAGUC